rnacentral:tRNA from 2 species
GCAGUCGUGGCCGAGCGGUUAAGGCGUCGGACUAGAAAUCAGAUUUCUUCUGGGAGCGUAGGUUCGAGUCCUACCAACUGCG